rnacentral:rRNA from 1 species
CCAAUAGCGUAUAUUAAAGUUGCUGCAGUUAAAAAGCUCGUAGUUGAAUUUCGGGAUCAAUAUGUUGGUCGUGCCUUGGUACGUACUAGCUUAUUGAUUUCUCCUUUCUGACGAACCAUGAUGUCAUUAAUUUGGUGUCAUGGGGAAUCAGGACUGUUACUUUGAAAAAAUUAGAGUGUUUAAAGCAUGCUCGCGCUUGAAUACAUUAGCAUGGAAUAAUGAAAUAGGACAUUUGAUUCUAUUUUGUUGGUUUCUAGGAUCGAUGUAAUGAUUAAUAGGGAUAGUUGGGGGCAUUAGUAUUCAAUUGUCAGAGGUGAAAUUCUUGGAUUUAUUGAAGACUAACUACUGCGAAAGCAUUUGCCAAGGAUGUUUUCAUUAAUCAAGAACGAAAGUUAGGGGAUCGAAGACGAUCAGAUACCGUCGUAGUCUUAACCAUAAACUAUGCCGACUAGGGAUCGGAUGAUGUUAAUUUUUUAAUGACUCAUUCGGCGCCUUACG